ACAUGCAAGUCGAACGCUUCUUUCCUCCCGAGUGCUUGCACUCAAUUGGAAAGAGGAGUGGCGGACGGGUGAGUAACACGUGGGUAACCUACCCAUCAGAGGGGGAUAACACUUGGAAACAGGUGCUAAUACCGCAUAACAGUUUAUGCCGCAUGGCAUAAGAGUGAAAGGUGCUUUCGGGUGUCGCUGAUGGAUGGACCCGCGGUGCAUUAGCUAGUUGGUGAGGUAACGGCUCACCAAGGCCACGAUGCAUAGCCGACCUGAGAGGGUGAUCGGCCACACUGGGACUGAGACACGGCCCAGACUCCUACGGGAGGCAGCAGUAGGGAAUCUUCGGCAAUGGACGAAAGUCUGACCGAGCAACGCCGCGUGAGUGAAGAAGGUUUUCGGAUCGUAAAACUCUGUUGUUAGAGAAGAACAAGGACGUUAGUAACUGAACGUCCCCUGACGGUAUCUAACCAGAAAGCCACGGCUAACUACGUGCCAGCAGCCGCGGUAAUACGUAGGUGGCAAGCGUUGUCCGGAUUUAUUGGGCGUAAAGCGAGCGCAGGCGGUUUCUUAAGUCUGAUGUGAAAGCCCCCGGCUCAACCGGGGAGGGUCAUUGGAAACUGGGAGGCUUGAGUGCAGAAGAGGAGAGUGGGAUUCCAUGUGUAGCGGUGAAAUGCGUAGAUAUAUGGAGGAACACCAGUGGCGAAGGCGGCUCUCUGGUCU
rnacentral:rRNA from 1 species